CACUUCGAAAUUCCCAAUUCAAAAUUCAAACACACCCUUAUCUUUGUUGGAUCCUCCCGCUUCAAACACAUCUUUGAAAACCCUAAUCCCAAUUCAAAAUUCAAACACGCCCUUCUCUUUCUUGGUUCUCUAUCUCAAAUUCAGAUAAUCGAAUGUCAUUCUGUCUUACCCUCUCUCGUUACUCUUCAUUGAUCGCAGGAGUUUGUGGUGCAAGAUUUCACAUCGCCUUCUCUGUUUGACAUGGAAGGGUUCUUAUCAUAUUUUCUAAUAGAUACCCAAAUGGGUGGAGAAUCACUUUUCGCUCCCUCAUCACCAUCCCCACCUCUCCCUCUACUGGAAAUUUAGGGUUUUAUUUUUCAACUUUAGUUCACCCAAAACCCUAAAACCUCCAAUGUGCUAUGAUUCAUCAGGGAAAUCUCAGCCGAUGGUUUCUCCUUACAUUGUACUAAAGGUUGGCUUGGCUUCACACAUUGUUAGGGUUGUGUCGACUUUGAAGGCUCAAGAAUUCAUUGAUGAGACAGGUAUUGAUGCUCUGGCAAUGUUUAUCGGUAAUGUUCAUGGAAGUACUUUGCAAGCGGGCUAAAGCUUCUGCUUGAUUUGCUAAAGAUCCUCUAUGAAUUGGCUUGAAAGAAUGGAAUCAUGGAGCCUCUAGAUUGCCUAAAGAACUUGUCCAGGUAUGCGUCUAUAAUACAAGAGAUCCAUCUGAAAUUCUUUCCAUAUGUCUUGUUCUGUGGCCCCCUCUAUGUGUGUUUGAUGGUUUAUAGCAUUAUUUACACAAUUAAAUCACGAAAAAGAAAAUAUAUGGUUUGCUCACCAUUGUUUUAGUCAAAUCUGUUUUCAGUUUGAUCCAACGGAUUCCAACCAUACGUUAUACUUGUGAUGUAGGUUCUUAAAAUGUAAUAUUUGUUUGCAUUUGUGUAUAUUAGUGUAGCAACUACCACAUAUGGCUCUCAAUUUGCAGCAUAUUAAGUUGGUCAACACAUCUAUCAAGGUGCUCAGUGUGUUUCAAAUUAUAAACCGGUGACCCGGGAAGGACUUUGUAAUUCCUUCUGAUGUGAACUUGGUAGUUGUACAACAGGUACAUCAGAUGAGAAAGAAGAUCAAUUGAGUGACAAUAGAAUUCAAUGGUUUGUCGAUCCACUGACAAAUUCUCAUUGAAUCCUGACAGGUUCUGAUCACUUAACUUUUACUUAUUUCAUUCAUUACUAUUUGAAAUCGAUUUGUGUUUUUCGUUAUGGCAGGUUGUCACUCUUUGGUGCAAGAUUGGAUCGAUUUGUGCUUUUAGCUUAUGAGAUCUGCUUCUUUUGCAUGGAUUCACUCAAGGAUCCAAAAAGAGAAAAGGUGUCAAUGCCAUUAUUCUCACUGCUCUAUGGUGUUUGUGGUGUAUGCGAAACGAUGUCCUUUCCGAAUGUGGUAGAAGAAGUCAAAGCAAUGAUAGAGAUUGUUCAUCAUUUUCAACGUAGGCUGAUUUGGUGAAUUGUUUUCUGUUCUUGUUGGUGUUGCUAUUUUGCUAGAUAAUUUUGGUAGCUGUAAUGUUUUUUUAAAUACCUUGCUUUGCUGGGGUUUUAAUAAGAUUUGUCGGAUCCAAGGGACUUUAGGAGCUGGGUUUAUAUACUAGAGGUGUGAAAGCGUUGUGUUUUGUGAGGUGAGCAAUGUGGGAUUCUCAACUUUUGGAAUGAAAAUUAAAUAUUAGUA